CCGCCCCCGCCCGGGCACAAGCGGUGGAGCAUGUGGUUUAAUUCGAUGCAACGCGAAGAACCUUACCUACUCUUGACAUCCAGAGAACUUAGCAGAGAUGCUUUGGUGCCUUCGGGAACUCUGAGACAGGUGCUGCAUGGCUGUCGUCAGCUCGUGUUGUGAAAUGUUGGGUUAAGUCCCGCAACGAGCGCAACCCUUAUCCUUUGUUGCCAGCGAUUCGGUCGGGAACUCAAAGGAGACUGCCAGUGAUAAACUGGAGGAAGGUGGGGAUGACGUCAAGUCAUCAUGGCCCUUACGAGUAGGGCUACACACGUG
rnacentral:rRNA from 1 species